AUGAAAUCACAGCUACUUGGUUUUUGGUUUACAUUUAUCAUGCACAGGUUGAAGGGAAGGAGGAAACAAAGAGACUUACUUUCAAGUGACAUCAGUCAAGAGGAUUGCAAAGAGUGCGCUGGGUCAACUGUACACUUACUAACUGAAAAGCAAUGCAAACUAGAAGCAGCUGAACCUCUCCAGCCACGCCAAUUCGUGAGAUGUGGAGAUAACAGCAACCAGAAGUACCUCACAAACAGGAUUUUCUCAGAAUGGAAAAUAGGUGCUAUUUCAAUGCUGAUCCUUUUAAAGAGGAUAGAAAAUUAUACACUACAAUGACGAGAGUAAGAAUCCUCAAGAUGUGACAUUUGACAGUUUGAACAAAUGCUCCAGGAGUUUAUUUCCUUUUGUAGGGCUGAAGCAGCUUCCAAUUAGCCAUUCUUGCCAUUCAGGACACCCAGUCCUAUUUGAAAUCAAAUGAGCAAAGCAUGAAAGUCUUCAGGGCUUCCCUUCUUCUCAUCGCCAAUUCAUCAGAAAAAAACCUUCACUUGCUCAUCUUUACUCCAUCAAGACCAGAUUUGAGACCUCAGUUACAAUCAGAUUCUCUUUCUGCUCUUUAUAAACAAGAAAAAAGCCACAAAGCAACCUAACGACACUACCGAUAGUGCCAAAAAAGGACAUCUGCUGAUUUGAUGGACAAGCUACAGUUCAGAGUAGUCUGAAAUCCAUACAGCUUGUCAAGAGGCAAAGAGCUGACAGCAUUUUGUUGACACAUUUCCUCAAAGUAAUGCACAGACUUACAGAUUUAAUUUUAAAAUACUCUGCAUUUGAACGCUGCCAAGUGAUAACAACAUGUCACAGGCACUGAAACUCCAUCUUAUCAGUUUCUCAUCAGCUUGAACAAAUGAGAAGUCUAGAUAAGACUUUUACUUUUAUUUUUUAAUUGUGGUGGCAGGGUAAUUACUAAAGUUUAUCUGCUGGAGCAGAAUGUUGUCCAAGAAAAGCUGUUUUACUGAUUGAGAGGCCACAUCUGGUAACACAUUAGAUCAAAACUCUAAAAUCACAUUAAGCUAUUUUUCUCAUAGUAGCUACUAUUUUACAAGUCCUCAUUUAGCACACUCCAUUAAGAAACAGAACAUAAAUCCCAGGUACAAUAACAGAACUAUGGUCACUAAUCACCACUGGAUUUCUUUAAAUAAUAGAGCUUCAGGCCUGAGCCUACACUGUUGACAUGACUGGGAUUUUUGCCAUUUCUGUAUAAGUGAAGUGGGAUCAGACUUGGAGUUAGUUAGCUAUAAUAAUAAUGAUAACGAAUGAUAAUUUCUAGCAGGCGGCCUAG
rnacentral:lncRNA from 1 species